rnacentral:rRNA from 1 species
UGGGGAAUAUUGGACAAUGGGGGCAACCCUGAUCCAGCGAUGCCGCGUGUGUGAAGAAGGCCUGCGGGUUGUAAAGCACUUUAGUUGGGGAGGAAAGGUAUGUACUGCAUAAGUGCAUGCUGUGACGUUACCCAAAGAAUAAGCACCGGCAAACUCUGUGCCAGCAGCCGCGGUAAUACAGAGGGUGCAAGCGUUAAUCGGAAUUACUGGGCGUAAAGGGCGCGUAGGCGGUCGAGUAAGUCGGAUGUGAAAUCCCCGGGCUUAACCUGGGAAUUGCAUUCGAUACUGCUUGGCUAGAGUGUGGAAGAGGGAAGCGGAAUUUCCGGUGUAGCGGUGAAAUGACGUAGAUAUCGGAAGGAACACCAGUGGCGAAGGCGGCUUCCUGGUCCAACACUGACGCUGAGGCGCGAAAGCGUGGGGAGCAAACAGGAUUAGAUACCCCUGUAGUCCCUGAGCGGGCUGGCAAGGCGCAU